rfam:Brassica napus, WGS project CCCW01000000 data, contig: 17528
GGUUGGUGAUGAUAACUGGAAAGGCUUGUUUCUCAAAACAUUCGCAGUGGCCGCCUAAGAGCUUUCGCCUUUCGCCAGGCUUGAGAGUUUAUGCUGCUUUUUAUCCUUCCUUCCUUGGAUGUCUGAAACC